CCCAUUGAUGAAGAAGAUCUGAUCUCGUAUAUAAUUGCGGGAUUAGAUGAAGAUUUUGAACCAAUUAUUUCUUCUUUGGUGUCAAAAUCUGAACAGGUAAACCUAGGAGAGAUUUACUCACAGCUACUCAGCUUUGAGC
rfam:Oryza brachyantha chromosome 5, whole genome shotgun sequence.